UAGGGAAUCUUCCGCAAUGGACGAAAGUCUGACGGAGCAACGCCGCGUGAGUGAUGAAGGCCUUCGGGUCGUAAAGCUCUGUUGUUAGGGAAGAACAAGUAGUAUUCGAAUAGGGUGCUACCUUGACGGUACCUAACCAGAAAGCCACGGCUAACUACGUGCCAGCAGCCGCGGUAAUACGUAGGUGGCGAGCGUUAUCCGGAAUUAUUGGGCGUAAAGCGCGCGCAGGUGGUUUCUUAAGUCUGAUGUGAAAGCCCACGGCUCAACCGUGGAGGGUCAUUGGAAACUGGGAGACUUGAGUGCAGGAGAGGAAAGUGGAAUUCCAAGUGUAGCGGUGAAAUGCGUAGAGAUUUGGAGGAACACCAGUGGCGAAGGCGACUUUCUGGCCUGUAACUGACACUGAGGCGCGAAAGCGUGGGGAGCAAACA
rnacentral:rRNA from 1 species